GGCCGCCAACGGCUACAGAGGGGGUUAUGAUGGCUAUCGGCCUCCCUUCCCCAAUGUAGGGGGCAACUACAGCCAGACUCAAUUUGGAAACGCCCCACGGGAGUACAGCAACAACACCUACCAGAGGGAUGGCUACCAGCAGCAGGGCUUUAAGCGGGGUGCAGGUCAGAGCUCUCGGGCGUAUCUCGAGGUAACGG